rnacentral:tRNA from 1 species
CGGGGUAUAGCGCAGUUUGGUAGCGCACUGGUUUUGGGAACCAGCUGUCGGGGGUUCGAAUCCCUCUACCCCGA